rnacentral:tRNA from 1 species
AGCGAAAAUAGCUCAAGGGUAGAGUAUGACUUUGCCAAGGUUAUGGUUAAGGGUUCAAGUCCCUUUUUUCGCUA